CCUACGGGUGGCAGCAGUGGGGAAUAUUGGGCAAUGGGCGCAAGCCUGACCCAGCAACGCCGCGUGAAGGAAGAAGGCUUUCGGGUUUUAAACUUCUUUUUACAGGGAAGUGUAAAAGACGGUACCUGUCCAAUAAUCCACGUCGAACUACGUGCCAGCAGCCGCGGUAAUACGUAAGUGGCAAGCGUUGUCCGGAUUUACUGGGUGUAAAGGGCGUGUAGCCGGGUUGACAAGUCAGAUGUGAAAUCCUUCGGCUUAACCGCAGAACUGCAGUUGAAACUGUUGAUCUUGAGUACUGGAGAGGCAGACGGAAUUCAUAGUGUAGCGGUGAAAUGCGUAGAUAUUAGGAGGAACACCAGUGGCGAAGGCGGUCUGCUGGACAGCAACUGACGGUGAGGCGCGAAAGCGUGGGGAGCAAACAGGAUUAGAUACCCCUGUAGUC
rnacentral:rRNA from 1 species